GCGGGUGAGGUGUAUCGGUUGCACAGGAGCCUUCCAAGCUCCUAGGGCGGGUUCGACUCCCGUCACCCGCU
rnacentral:tRNA from 2 species